rnacentral:rRNA from 1 species
GACGAACGCUGGCGGCGUGCCUAAUACAUGCAAGUCGAACGCUUCUUUCCUCCCGAGUGCUUGCACUCAAUUGGAAAGAGGAGUGGCGGACGGGUGAGUAACACGUGGGUAACCUACCCAUCAGAGGGGGAUAACACUUGGAAACAGGUGCUAAUACCGCAUAACAGUUUAUGCCGCAUGGCAUAAGAGUGAAAGGCGCUUUCGGGUGUCGUUGAUGGAUGGACCCGCGGUGCAUUAGCUAGUUGGUGAGGUAACGGCUCACCAAGGCCACGAUGCAUAGCCGACCUGAGAGGGUGAUCGGCCACACUGGGACUGAGACACGGUCCAGACUCCUACGGGAGGCAGCAGUAGGGAAUCUUCGGCAAUGGACGAAAGUCUGACCGAGCAACGCCGCGUGAGUGAAGAAGGUUUUCGGAUCGUAAAACUCUGUUGUUAGAGAAGAACAAGGACGUUAGUAACUGAACGUCCCCUGACGGUAUCUAACCAGAAAGCCACGGCUAACUACGUG